AAGGCAGUAGCUCAGUUGGUAGAGCAACGAUAGACUUGAAAUUAUCUAAAUAGGUCAAUCAAUUCUUACUUCAUACUUGGGGUACGUGGGUCGCAAGUUCGAAUCUUGCCUGCCUUC
rnacentral:tRNA from 1 species